rnacentral:snoRNA from 1 species
GGUCUGAAGCCAUGUCAACAGUAGCAUAUGCAUUGACUGGUGGUGCUAUGAUCGGGCCCAAAUUAAGUCCUGAUUUGGCAUGUUGCAUGUUGAUAGGUAUCUGUGGACAAUCACUGUUCACCCAUGGAGCUGAUUUUGUGAUCGCAGAU